GAUAAACGCUGGCGGUGUGCUUUAUGCAUGCAAGUCGAACGGGUUCCGCAAGGAAUCAGUGGCAGACGGGUGAGCAACACGUAAGCGACCUACCCUAAAGUGGGGAACAACUCCUAGAAAUGGGAGCUAAUACCGCAUGUGAUCCUAGUUUUUAACUAUUAGGAUUAAAGCCGUAAGGCGCUUUUGGAGGGGCUUGCGUACGAUUAGAUAGUUGGUGAGGUAACGGCCCACCAAGUCGACGAUCGUUAGCUGGUUUGAGAGGACGACCAGCCACACGGGGGACUGAGACACGGCCCCGACUCCUACGGGUGGCAG
rnacentral:rRNA from 1 species